AACGAACGCUGGCGGCGUGCUUAACACAUGCAAGUCGAACGUGAAAGUCCGCAAGGAUGAGUAAAGUGGCGCACGGGUGAGUAUUAGAUAGGAACGUACCGAUUAGAGGGGGAAAUCCACGGGAAACUGUGGUUAAUCCCGCAUAAGUUCCGCAUGCAAGAAAGAAAGCUUUGAGCAAUCAAAGCACUCGCAAGUCGAUCGUCUUAUCUCCCAUUAGCUAGUUGGGAGGGUAAAGGCCUACCAAGGCUUCGAUGGGUAGCUGGUCUGAGAGGAUGAUCAGCCAAACUGGAACUGAGACACGGUCCAGACACCUACGGGAGGCAGCAGUGGGGAAUUUUGCACAAUGGGGGAAACCCUGAUGCAGCAACGCCGCGUGAGUGAAGAAGGCCCUUGGGUCGUAAAGCUCUUUCGGCUAGGAAGAAGGGUAUUUGUGUUAAUAGCUCGGAUACUGGACGGUACUAGAAGAAGAAGCACCGGCUAAUUCCGUGCCAGCAGCCGCCGUAA
rnacentral:rRNA from 1 species